AAUACGUUCCCGGGCCUUGUACACACCGCCCGUCACACCACGAAAGUCGGCAACACCCGAAGCCGGUGGCCAACCCGUAAGGGAGGGAGCCGUCGAAGGUGGGGUCGGUGAUUGGGGUG
rnacentral:rRNA from 1 species